rnacentral:sRNA from 1 species
GGGACCUUCUCGCACAUCCCUCCUUCUCCCUGGACCUCUCUUCACUCCCCUAGCCCCUGCCCGUGGUCUCCCUGUUUCUCAAACACCUGGUCCCCUUCCCCGUGAAGGUGGCUCCAAGGCUGGCAGCCCUGGUGUCCCUGGCUGGGGAGCAGUGGACCUGCCCCAGAGCUGUGGCUGUGGUGGGCUCCGGGCAGGGCCAGGGGGCACUGUGGCCUGGGAGGGGGCACUGAUGCCCGGCCUCUUGCCAGCCCUCCCCCAACAGCACCAACUUGCUGCCCACGGAGAUCAGCCAGUCCCUGCUGUACCGGGGGCCCGUGGACCCUGCCAACUGGUUUGGGGUGCGGAAAGGGUUCCCCAACCUGGGCUACAUCCAGGUGAGUUGAGGGGCUGGUGGGCGGCUGGGCGGGCGAGUACCCGGCUGCCCCCUGACCCUUGCCCUCCGCAGAACCACCUGCAAGUGCUGCUGCUGCUGGUAUUCGAGGCCAUCGUGUACCGGCGCCAGGAGCACUACCGCCGG